UUGUAUGCAUAUAUGCUUUUUAAACCUAUUUACCGAAGUUAAGCAAGGUUGGGCUUGGUUAGUACUUGGAUGGGAGACUGCUGGGAAUACCAGACGCCACAGU
rnacentral:rRNA from 1 species